AGAAUGGUGUUCAGCACCAAGGACAGGUGUGCUUUACCUGUGUGUGAAUAGUGUUCAGCACUAAGGACAGGUGUGUUUGUUG
rnacentral:pre_miRNA from 1 species